rnacentral:lncRNA from 1 species
CGAACAAGCACACAGAGAACAGGGAGGCCUUCAGUGCAAACAGAACACCUAAGUAGCAAAAUAUCGCACAGUUCAGCAGUGGCAAACUAGUCCAAAACAGUUUAACACAAUGGCAAAUCUAGCAGCUACCAAAGUCCAAAAUAAGUCUAGAAAUACCAUCACCAAACAACAAAAUAGUGGCAAACUAGUCACAACCCACAUGCCACAAAGUAAGUCUAUAAAAUGAUAUUUAAAGUCUUAAAUACGAAUCACUGGAUGAGGCAUGAGACACUUCUUAAUAUGCUUCACUAAGCCAGCCAUAAUACUUUGGAUGACAAUUAUAAACUCGACCACAAUAAAGGUACUUUGCUUUGCGGGCUUCUUCAUUUACUUUAACUAGCUCAAAAUAUUCCCAAAUAGGCGAUCUAGCUUCAGGACUACGAGGCAUAGUUGAACCUACUAAAAAAAAAAGUUCAUGAGUUAAUAAAAUAUUUUUAAUUAUAAAUAACAAAAGAAUAUCAUAAAACAAGCAAAUCUUUAAACUUACCACUCGUUCAAACUAUGCAUCAACAAUGCUAGUAUCUCUUUCAACAAUACAAGUUUCUCUUCCGUUGCC